rnacentral:rRNA from 1 species
UACGAAGGGUGCAAGCGUUACUCGGAAUUACUGGGCGUAAAGCGUGCGUAGGUGGUUUGUUAAGUCUGAUGUGAAAGCCCUGGGCUCAACCUGGGAAUUGCAUUGGAUACUGGCAGGCUAGAGUGCGGUAGAGGGUAGUGGAAUUCCCGGUGUAGCAGUGAAAUGCGUAGAGAUCGGGAGGAACAUCCGUGGCGAAGGCGACUACCUGGACCAGCACUGACACUGAGGCACGAAAGCGUGGGGGAGCAAACAGG